UACGUAGGGUGCAAGCGUUAAUCGGAAUUACUGGGCGUAAAGCGUGCGCAGGCGGUUAUAUAAGACAGUUGUGAAAUCCCCGGGCUCAACCUGGGAACUGCAUCUGUGACUGUAUAGCUAGAGUACGGUAGAGGGGGAUGGAAUUCCGCGUGUAGCAGUGAAAUGCGUAGAUAUGCGGAGGAACACCGAUGGCGAGGGCAAUCCCCUGGACCUGUACUGACGCUCAUGCACGGAAAGCGUGGGGAGCAAACAGG
rnacentral:rRNA from 1 species